AUGACGCACUCACGUUGGAUGAGUUCAUCGGGCAUUUUUUGGAAGUGUUGGGACAUUGUUAAGGUUGAACUCAUGAGAGCCAACCAUCAUUUUGGUGACCUCCAUGGUGCAAAUCUCCAAUGGUUAAACUCUGUAAACAUUGUGCUUUUGCCCCAGAAAGAGGGUGUGGAAGAGAUCAUCGACUUUAUGCCUAUUAGCCUCAUUUAUUCCGUUGCAAAAAUCAUUGCUAAGAUACUAGCUAUCCGCCUUAGUAUGCACAUGAACUCUCUUGUUUCUAAUGCCCGAAGUUCCCAAGCAAGUUUAGGGAUUGGAUCACCGCCCUGA
rnacentral:rRNA from 1 species